rnacentral:rRNA from 1 species
AGUGAACGCUGGCGGUAGGCCUAACACAUGCAAGUCGAACGGCAGCACAGUAAGAGCUUGCUCUUACGGGUGGCGAGUGGCGGACGGGUGAGGAAUACAUCGGGAUCUACUUUUUCGUGGGGGAUAACGUAGGGAAACUUACGCUAAUACCGCAUACGACCUACGGGUGAAAGCAGGGGAUCUUCGGACCUUGCGCGAUUGAAUGAGCCGAUGUCGGAUUAGCUAGUUGGCGGGGUAAAGGUCCACCAAGGCGACGAUCCGUAGCUGGUCUGAGAGGAUGAUCAGCCACACUGGAACUGAGACACGGUCCAGACUCCUACGGGAGGCAGCAGUGGGGAAUAUUGGACAAUGGGCGCAAGCCUGAUCCAGCCAUACCGCGUGGGUGAAGAAGGCCUUCGGGUUGUAAAGCCCUUUUGUUGGGAAAGAAAAGCAGCAGGUUAAUACCCCGCUGUUCUGACGGUACCCAAAGAAUAAGCACCGGCUAACUUCGUG